rnacentral:rRNA from 1 species
GGUUUUUAGACUUUAUUAAAAAUCUAACCUGCUCAAUGCUCAGUAAAUAGCCGCAGUAUUCUGACUGUGCAAAGGUAGCAUAAUCAUUUGUCUUUUAAUUGAAGACUGGAAUGAAAGGUUUAACUAAGUGUUCCUGUCUUAUAAUAAUAUUUUGAAAUUUAUAUUUUAGUAAAAAAGCUAAAAUUAUUUAUAGGGACGAGAAGACCCUAUCAAGUUUUACAAUCAAAAAUUUAAUUUCAAAUUAAAUUAAAAAUUGUUUUGCUGGGGCAGCAAGUAAAAAUUUUUUAUUUUAAAAUUAUGACAAAUAAGUCUUGAAAAAUCAAAGAUUUUUUAAUUAAAAAUAAAUUACUGUAGGGAUAACAGCAUAAUUUUUUUAGAGAGUUCUUAUCAUCAAAAAAGUUUGUGACCUCGAUGUUGGAUUAAAACUCCUAAUUCGUGCAAUAAUGAAAUAAGGAAGUCUGUUCGACUUUUAAAUUUUUCCA